AUGCCUCCGAGAAACAGGACAUAUGCAUCAGGUAGCAAAAAAAGGAAAAAGAAGAAGGCCGCAGAUAAAUUGGUACAAUCACAUUCCACUACUUCGAUUAAUCCAGAUGAUGAGUUGGCGAUAGUUGCCAUAGAGGAAGAGCAACAAAAUAAUGUGAAUUCAGAAUCCGAUCAGCAAGAAGAAAAUGUCGACACCAACAUCGUCGACAACAAUUCUCCUAGUGUUGAUGAACCAGUCUAUACUCCUGAUAUUUAUGAUCCAAGAAAUUGGGAUAAUCUUGACAAUAAAGCAAGAGAUGUAUUAGUUGAGAAAGGGCCAAUGAGAGAGGAAGAGGAUAAAAUGGAAUAUCGUGUAGAUGAUGCAUGAAGACAUUUUUCCUAUGUUCAUUAUCAUAGGAAAUUAAGCAAUGGAGAGAAACAUGGUAGAAAAUGACUAGUUUAUUCAGAAGCUGUUGACAAAGUUUUUUGCUUUUGUUGUAAGAUCUUCAAGUCUAGCAGUAACAGGAGUCAGAGUUCGUUAGCACAUGAUGGAUUAGAUCAUUGGAGGCACAUUAGUGAGAAGCUUAAAGAACAUGAAAAUAGCGUUGAUCAUAUUAACAUGAACAAGUGGAAUGAAUUAAGGAUUAGACUGCGGAAAGAGCAAACUAUUGACAAGGAAUUUCAGCAUCAACUAACAAAGGAGAAAGAACGUGUCAGGCAAGUUUUGUUAAGAAUAAUAACCAUUGUGAAAUAUCUUGGUAAACGCAACUUGGCUUUUCGCGGAAACAGUGAGCAACUUUACAAGGAUGAUAAUGGUAAUUUCUUAGCUUGUGUUGAGAUGAUUGCAGAAUUUGAUUUGGUAAUGCAAGACCACCUUAGACGUAUCCAGAACAAAGAAAUUCAUUACCAUUAUCUCAGUCAUAAAAUUCUUUGA
rnacentral:rRNA from 1 species